UAACAUACAAACCCAUCUGCGGAGAGUAGCCCCAAUUAACCCUACUAAUUGGGGCUAAUCAAAUUGACUUUACUAGCAGCGGCAUCAAAUCGUUUGUUGAAUAACUGAGUAUCUGCAGCCGCAUGGGUGAAGAAGUUCUCCCACUCUCUCCCCGUAGCCUCUUCCUCGGCAUAUGGACGUUUUUCUCAAAACUUCAACGCCAUGGCUUCAUCUUUCAAAAAGUUUAGGUGGGCCUGGCCAUGGUACCAUGGUGGGCGUACCCUUUAUGGUAAUGAUGUAUGGUGGUCUAUUUUUGGUAAUCUUUCCUGGUUUUGCAUGUGCCUUGCUCUAUAGAAUUUUAUGGGUGAUCCAAGUCGUACCAUGACCUUGGCGGCUUUCCACGUGAUUCUCUCUAUGGGGGCCCUAAUAACUCAUUUCAUUUUGAUGCACUCUAUUAUUUAUUGGUAUCGCGACAUGCCUUUCAAGUUAAUGGGUGCCAAGGCGAAAUUUAUGAUUGAGGUCAUUCCUAUGAUAAUAGCAGCAGCCUUGCAUCAUCUUUUGGAAUUCAAUUAUGGGUAUCUCCUGCUACUGCUAGCCUUCACAAUAUAUUUUUAUACCUUUGCGCACUUCAUGCAUGUAGCCUAUGACAUUGGAGGAAAAGACGUAUUGUUGGGAUUACUAAUGCCGGUUCUUGGUUACAUGCUGAACGUAGAAUGGUUACUUAGAGCUUUGGCUUUGAGCUUCUGCGUAGGCUUUAGUUUCUAUAGAUUCGUGACAUAUUGUGCUCCUGAAGUACCUGCCCAUUCUAAAAAGGAGCUGGAGCGGCUGCCUUGCUGAUUUGAAGGCGUUUGUAGAAGGACAAAUCUUUAGCAUCUCAUAUAUUAUAAGUUAGUCUGUUGUC